UAUGUACUCCCUCCAUUCGGAAUUACUUGUCACAAAAAUGGAUGUAUCUACAACUAAAAUACAUCUAGAUACAUUCAUUUAUUGGACGAGUAAUUCCGAACGGAAGGAGUAGCUC
rnacentral:pre_miRNA from 1 species